UACGUAGGGUGCGAGCGUUAAUCGGAAUUACUGGGCGUAAAGCGCACGCAGGUGGCUGAGUCAGUCGAUUGUGAAAGCCCUGGGCUUAACCUGGGAAUUGCAGUCGAUACUACUCGGCUAGAGUAUGGGAGAGGGAAGUGGAAUUCCCGGUGUAGCGGUGAAAUGCGUAGAUAAUCGGGAGGAACAUCAGUGGCGAAGGCGGCUUUCUGGCCUGUUCGUUGACGCUGACGGCGCGAAAGCCAGGGGAGCAAAGCGGG
rnacentral:rRNA from 1 species